GACGAACGCUGGCGGCGUGCUUAACACAUGCAAGUCGAACGGAAAGGCCUGCUUUCCCUUGUGGAUUGCGGGUACUCGAGUGGCGAACGGGUGAGUAACACGUGAGUGAUCUGCCCCCAACUUGGGUAUAAGCCUGGGAAACUGGGUCUAAUUCCCGAUAGGACUGCAGGGUGGUGCCUGUGGUGGAAAACGAUUUUCUAGUGGUUGGGGAUGAGCUCGCGGCCUAUCAGCUUGUUGGUGGGGUAAUGGCCUACCAAGGCGGCGACGGGUAGCCGGCCUGAGAGGGUGGACGGCCACAUUGGGACUGAGAUACGGCCCAGACUCCUACGGGAGGCAGCAGUGGGGAAUAUUACCCAAUGGGCGGAAGCCUGAUGCAGCGACGCCGCGUGGGGGAUGCCGGCCUUCGGGUUGUAAACUCCUUUCGACCGCGAGGAAGCCACCUGGUUGGAAGGGUGGUGACGGUAGUGGUAGAAGAAGCACCGGCUAACUACGUG
rnacentral:rRNA from 1 species